rnacentral:rRNA from 1 species
AACGAACGUUAGCGGCGCGCUUAACACAUGCAAGUCGUGCGAGAAAGGGGCAACCCCGGUAAAGCGGCGCACGGGCGAGUAACACGUAGGUAAUCUGCCCCAAGGUGGUGGAUAACCUUCCGAAAGGAGGGCUAAUACAGCAUGAGACCACGGUCCCGCAAGGGAUUGAGGUCAAAGUCGGCCUCUUCAUGAAAGCUGACGCCAGGGGAGUGAGCCUGCGGCCCAUCACGGUAGGUUGGAGGGUAAUGGCCUACCAAGCCUAAGACGGGUAGCUGGUCUGAGAGGAUGAUCAGCCACACUGGAACUGAGACACGGUCCAGACUCCUACGGGAGGCAGCAGUGGGGAAUCUUGCGCAAUGGGCGAAAGCCUGACGCAGCGACGCCGCGUGAGUGAU